rnacentral:rRNA from 1 species
AAUGGGCGAAAGCCUGAUGCAGCGAUGCCGCGUGAGGGAAGAAGGUCUUCGGAUUGUAAACCUCUGUUUUCAGGGACGAUAAUGACGGUACCUGAGGAGGAAGCUCCGGCUAACUACGUGCCAGCAGCCGCGGUAAUACGUAGGGAGCGAGCGUUGUCCGGAAUUACUGGGUGUAAAGGGAGUGUAGGCGGGAAAACAAGUCAGAUGUGAAAACUAUGGGCUCAACCUGUAGACUGCAUUUGAAACUAUUUUUCUUGAGUGAAGUAGAGGUAAGCGGAAUUCCUAGUGUAGCGGUGAAAUGCGUAGAUAUUAGGAGGAACAUCAGUGGCGAAGGCGGCUUACUGGGCUUUUACUGACGCUGAGGCUCGAAAGCGUGGGGAGCAAA